GAUAAAGAAUAGUUCUAUGAAUACAGCUCCGAACGGUAGGAUUCCAGCCAUUAAAAUACUGCAAAAAAGAAUUCGAUCACUUGAUGUUUCAUUCUUUUGAUUGGGGUAAUCUUUUGGCAAUAAAUAAAUGGGAGUACCUCAACUUAAUUUUCAAGUAUACUGAAUAGGUACUGAAUCACAUACACAUUUUGUAAAGAUCCAGUAUUAUCCAGGGGUGUAAUUUGUUUGGUUUGGCUUUGAGAGUGAAUCAAUAAAUCAUUUUAAUUGGGUACUAUGCAAAUUAGAAGUCUAUACUAUUUAUUUUCAUAAAAUAGAACUUACAAAUAGUGAUGAGAGCCAUGAGAAAUACUUGAAUGCCACUUCCAAUAACAGCAGCGAAAAGCAUUCUUUUUGGUGGAGGACGAAACACAUCUCCAUGAACCAGUUUCCACCCUGUUUCUUCUAUCAUAUCGUCCAUCAUUUCAUCAGAAUUAUACCGAGCUAUGUCUCGCCUUAAUGUCCUUACCAUAAUCAUAGUCAAUAUACCUG